rnacentral:rRNA from 1 species
UACGUAGGGGGCGAGCGUUAUCCGGAUUCACUGGGUGUAAAGGGAGCGUAGACGGCCAUGCAAGCCAGGGGUGAAAGCCCGGGGCCCAACCCCGGGACUGCCCUUGGAACUGCAUGGCUGGAGUGCGGGAGGGGCAGGCGGAAUUCCUGGUGUAGCGGUGAAAUGCGUAGAUAUCAGGAGGAACACCGGCGGCGAAGGCAGCCUGCUGGACCGCGACUGACGUUGAGGCUCGAAAGCGUGGGGAGCGAACAGG